GAAGGCAGCUGUCAGCAGUGUUAAGGGGAAGCCGCUGUUAAGGAGAAACCAAAGUGGUGUUUGGAGUCCUGUCGUCCCUGGGGGCAAACUGGGCAUUGUCUCCAUCCACUGGGAUGGAGAGAGAAGCCGGAGGCCUUGACAAUGAGCACUCCCUGGG
ensembl:misc_RNA